UACGAAGGGUGCUAGCGUUGUUCGGAAUCACUGGGCAUAAAGCGCACGUAGGCGGUCCGUUUAGUCAGGUGUGAAAGCCCCCGACUCAACCGGGGUACUGCACCUAAUACUGGCAAACUCGAGGAUGAUAAAGGUGAGCAGAACUCCAGGUGGAGCGGUGAAAUGCGUAGAUAUCUAAAGGAACACCGGUGGCGAAAGCGGCUCACUAGGCCAUCUCUAACACUGAGGUGCGAAAGCUAGAAUAGCAAACGGG
rnacentral:rRNA from 1 species